ACAUUUGGCUCUUGGGAUUAAUUCCUACCUUCACUACUUUCUAGGGGUUGAUCUUGGAUAACUUACCUAACCUCUUUUAGCCUCAGUUUCCUCAACAGUUCCUCAACCCUAAGUUCUUACUGCAUAAUUGCUAUUAUCAUUUGUUUCUACAGUUGAUGAUACAUCUUAAAAACGUUCAUAUCUAUUCACUUCAUUUCUAUAAUUACACUCUCAAAUUGACCAUACCUAUUAUUUCCAUUGGUAUCCCAUAGAUAACCUCUACCUCCUCUCCAAGAUUCUGACUCCUUCCCAGGCCUAACUGCUCAUACCUCUUGUUUGGGAAUGAUCAGAGGAAAAGCUUUCCACCACCACCACCACUCUGCUAUGAUUGGUAGCACAGCCGAAGAGAGAGUUUUAUGGAAGAGAGAUGCCCGAGUUGAAUUUAAGUUUUUCUCUCAAUGCUUUGCUUUGUUUCCUCUGUAGAAUCCCAGCAAAUUCUUUUUUUUAUUAGUUAAUCUUUUAAAUUGUGGUAAAAAAAAAAACCCACAUAUCAUAAAGUUUACCAUCUUAGCCAUUUUUAAGUAUAGGGUUCAGUAGUGUUAAGUAUAUUUACAUCAUUGUGAAGCAGAUCUCCAGAACUUUUUCAUCUUGCAGAACUGAAACUCUACACCCAUUAAACAACAGCUCCCCUAUUCCCCUUUCCCUGAGCCCUUGGUAACCAGCAUUCUGUUUUUUAUUUCUAUUAAUUUAACGACUUUAGAUACCUCAUAUGAUUGGAAUCAAGGAAUCAUACAGUAUUUGUCCUUUUAUGACUCAAGUCUCUCUCUUUUUUAAACCAUCAAGAGCUUUAAUAGCUACCAGUUUAUUUUUUUAAGUGGUAUAGGAGGUUAUUCAUAAUCGAAAUAAAUCAACUUGAAAUAUCAAGAUUCAUUAAUGCAUGAUCCAUUAAAAUACAUAACUUGAAGUUUAUCCACAUAGAAAGUAUAUUCCCACAAUUUAGUCUUUCUUGUUAGGUUGGAUGGCACAGAAAUAACCCAUGGUAUGCAACAAAGAUUAAACUGUCUCUUUGUCCUUGGAAAAUUCUAUGCUGGUCUCCUACACUUUAUACAAGAGGCUACUUGGGGGAGCAUGGGGAGGAUGGUGCUCAAACAGGAGAAUGAAUAGAUGAAUGGGCCCCUAAUAUUUACAUUAUAUAAUUACAGGAGAAGUACACACCUUAUACCUUUUUUUAUGGCUCCUUCCCCCACGGUCCCUAUCACAAUGCCUAUCUUCACAAAUAUUUGUCAGAUAAAAGGACAAAGAUCGUGAAGGGAAGAAGAAUAGAAAAAGAAAUGUGAUGGUAGUGGCAGAAAUAAUGGAAGCAGAAGACACAGGACAAGGCAGUCGUAGAUUAUAGAGGGGCACAUGACCAACCUUUUACAAUCAACCAAAUUAAAGCCAACUUCAUCACACAGAAGUCCCUUACACCCUGGGCUAUGACAAUGGCAGGUAUUGAUUUAGCUCAAGUUAUGAGGUGAUCAAUAUAUUCUUUGGAUGCCCUCUUUCUUUUCAGCAGCCCCCUCUAAUUCAACUCAACUCCACUUCCACGCCUGCCCUCCUGGAUAUUGUAGCUUGUACAACAACACUCUAACUCCUCAAAGCGUUUUGAAACUUCCAUCCUCUACGAAAUCCCUCAGCACAAUGGAGGACCUUCAAACCACAGCCACACAGGUGACCUCUCUAAUAUACGUUUGUUCUUAAGAAAGGAAUGCCUUGGUUCCCUAUUUGUCAAAACAUUUUAUCCUCUUCUAAUGUGUAGCUAUUCAUUGAACAUCUGAUUAGGGUUAAAGAAGACAUGAGGUUAAUGGUUUUGAAAGGUAAAGGGCUAAAUCUUUCCCUGUUUCCACCUACCUCUCUCACCAGACAUUGAACCUACACUCCCUCCAGAUAGUAUUAUGCUUCCUGAAGAAGCUAAGAUACAUCUGAACAAGAAGAUCUCUCCUGUAUUUGUUGGAAGUGUGGGUAAGACACUCAAGAGAGAGACCACAGAUAAAAAUAUAAACCUAGGAGUCAUCUACCUGGAGACGAUCGCUGAAACUUGGAGAGGAGAAAAGCAUUCCUUUAAUCAUGCAUCAGUAAAAGAUUAAUAAAUAUCAAGGGCUGUCUUGGUUCAUGGGGCUGAAGAAUACACCAGUUGGUAGUUCUCAGUUCAAGUCAGUGCAGAUCCUAUCAAAGAAAAUAAAAAUACAUAUGACAAGUGCCUGCCUUAGAAAGGAUCAUACACAUUGCUAAAUUUCUUCAACCAGAUAUACGUCAGGAAUUAAAGCUAAAUCUGAGUGAAUGUUUCACAGACUUUUGGCUGAGAGGGGGCACUUCCUUGAUGUCUGGUUUCUUUUAGUUUGUUGGGUGGAUGUAGAGAAAGUUGUUAGCCUGGCUCAUG
rnacentral:lncRNA from 1 species